GAAAUGCGAUACGUAGUGUGAAUUGCAGAAUUCCGUGAAUCAUCGAAUCUUUGAACGCACAUUGCGCCCUCUGGCAUUCCGGGGGGCAUGCCUGUCCGAGCGUCAUUACGCACCCUCAAGCCCGGCUUGUGUGAUGGGCCCCGGCGUCUCGUUCGCGAGACGGGCCCGAAAGGCAGCGGCGGCGUCGACCCGAUGAGCCCGAGCGUAUGGGGACUUCUGUCACACGUUCGCGGUGCGGACCGGCGCCUGCUUGACUUUUCUGAUUAUCCAGGUUGACCUCGGAUCAGGUAGGGAUACCCGCUGAACUUAAGC
rnacentral:misc_RNA from 1 species